GUGGCAUAUGGAGGAUCCCAGGCUAGGGGUUGAAUCAGAGCUGUAGCUGCCAGCCUACCCCACAGCCACAGCAAUGCCAGGUAGAGCCACUUCUGUGACCUACACCACAGCUCAUGGCAAUGCUGGAUCCUUAACCCACUGAGCAAGGGCAGAGAUCAAACCAGCAUCCUCAUUAAUACUGGUCGGGUUUGCUACUGCUGAGCUAUGAAGGGAACUCCAUUAGUGCAAUUUUAAAUGCCUGUGGCCAGACUACAGAAUUAUCUCAGAUGGCUGAGAAAUUAUUAUUUUUCUAGAAUCACAUAAAGCUUUCUCAUAAUUUUCUAUCCAAAUAUUUGUAUGCAAAUUUCUAAAGAAAACACUUAAAAUUCCCACUUACAAGAGCCCAACAGAUAUUCCUUAAAUCUUAAUAUUUUGACUAGAAAAAUAUGUUUAAAUCCCAAAGAAUGGAAAAUAGCAUGCCUUGGUUUGAGGAAUGCAAGUGUUCUUUCCACGCCAGCCUCACUUGGGCCAAGUGAGUGUAAUUACUUCAAUGGGCCCCAUCUUUUUUCAAAGGCUUGAUCCUCUCCACUGCCUCUUGGAAUUGCUGAAAACUACAAAGAUUCACUAGGGUACAAUUACAAGCAUUGCUUUUCAGAGAGUGUUAUAUAAAUACUGCCUGGAAGAAAUAAGUUAAAAGGUUGAGUCCUAAACGGAGAAAACUUUCAGAGAUUUUAUUUUCACCAUUUGUGAUUACUUGGUUAUGGAAUUACAGAUAAAAAAAAAAAGUGCUUGCUUUUUAAAAUCUUUGUAUUGAAAUAUUGUUGAUUUACAACAUUGGGUUAGUUUCAGGUGUACAGCAAAGUGGUUCAGUUAUACAUAUAUAGGUGUGUGUAUAUAUACAUAAUACCUAUAUGUGUGUAUAUAAUACAUAUGUGUAUAUAUAUGUGUGUGUGUAUAUAGAUAGAUAUUCUUUUUUAGAUUCUUUUCCAUUAUGGGUUAUUACAAGAUAUUAAAUACAGUUCCCUGUGCCAUACAACAGUUCCUUGCUGAAAAAGUGCAUGCUUCUGUCACUACUAUCUACAGCAAAAAUCAAAAAUACUUCAUGCAUGUGUGUGUGCACACAGAGACAGAGAAGCAGACAGACAUGCAUAUCACCAAUAUCUGUAAGUAAAAGGUUAGCGAGACGCCCAUGGUUAUUCUCCCGGCCAGAUCUGAUCCUGUGGGAGAAGACAUAUUUUGUGACAAGCAGGGUUUAGGGAAGGAGAUUAGGGGGGUUCCCCUUUUCUCCCCAGAGCAAGACUGCCUCCUGAUCUAAUUUGCUUCCAUGCGCCCCAGUGAUUAUCAAACUGACCCAUGAAAAACUACUCUCCUAAGAAUACCAGGACCACACAAGUCAAGCUCAGGGUUCAGAAGUCAAAUACUGUCUGAGAAAAGCCAUAUUUUGAGGGGAAAAAAAAAGAAACUAAUUCUGGAUUUUCCGACUUUUCCCAGUGGCCAGAACCUACUGUUGGAGGGAAAAAUCGUGCAGAUAUACUUCAGCUUACUCUCUGCAGUUCUUGGAACAGAUCUCCACCCUUUUAUUUUAUUGUAACAUGCUUCACGGCAGGGCAAAAUUCCAGUGGUGCCAUUUAAACAUAAAAGCAAAGCCACAAAAAUGCUCUGACUCAGUUUGAAUUCCAGAACAUAAAAGUGAUACCCAGUUUACCUUCAGACCUUAGCUGUCUACAUAUUAACUAUGCCUGUUUGAUGCCUAGUUGUGGACAGGUACUGGAGCUCUCUUGUCCAUGAUUGGGGUAUCUUCUAUUGCCCUCCUUGCCUCUAAUCACUGUUUCUGGCGGGUUGCAGUGGAAGAUUACCUGAGUUGGAAGCCAUCUACUGGAUUCUCUAAAAAUAAACCCAAGGAACAUUCUAGAGCAGUUCUCAAACUGGAGGGCAUCAGAAUUACCUAGAGGGCUUGUUUAUUUUUUUAAAUUUUUUUUAUUGAUGUAUAGUUGCCAUACAAUAGUAUACAUAAGUUAUGGGUGUACCAAAUAGUGAUUCAGUCUUCAAAGAGGAUACUCCAUUUAUAGUCACUGUAAAAUAUUAGCUACAGCCGGUAUGCUGUACAGUUUUUACAGCUUAUUUUACACCUAAUAGUUUGUACCUCUUAAAACUCUGCCCCUAUGUAUUCCUUCUCCUCUUCCCUCUCCCCACUGUUAACCACUAGUUUGUCCUCCAUAUCUGUGCAUCUGUUUAUGUUUUAUUCACUAGUCCGUUGCAUUUUUUAGAUUUCACAUACAAGUGAUAUCAUACUCAUUGGAGGGCUUGUCUACACAGAUUUUUCAGGCCCCACUCUUAAAGAUUCUGGUUGGGGAAGGGGGGAAGGGGUAGAAAGAGGAACAAGAAUUUGCAUUUCUCUAGGUGCUGCUUUUGCUGCUGUUUUGAGAUGCCAACUUUAAGUCGCACUUGUCUAGAACUGCUCACAGACACAAAACCAGGCAAUAAGAGAACCCAUUGGUUCAUGCAUUCAUUUCUCUAGUAUUAGUCAUGUAUGGCCGCAUCCCAGGCCCUCUGCCAGGCUCUGGGAUGCACCCCUGAAUAACGCCCAGGGCAGUAAGAUAAGCACAUAAAUGUAAUAAGAUACAAUGGGUCAUAUAAGUAAUGCAUAGAAAGGAAUGGGGUGGACACAAGGCUCAAGGCUACCUGAAGUGUGGGUGAGGCCAUGAGCUGGCAUGAAAAGUUUGAGAAAAUGGCAUUUGCACUACAUCCUGGAAGGGGGUCCAGAACCACCAGCAGGGCAGCACCAUGAAUAGUGGCCUGCAGCUAUAGUAGACAAUAUUGUAUGCAGAUCUGCAGGAACACACAGCCUGAGAAAGAAGGAGAGAAGGAUGCAGAAUAGACCUAAGACUUGAAUAGUCUCAGGUAGUCAAGGCUUGGUUAGAACACAAACCAUGAACCCUAAAGGAAGCAAUGGGUUAGAGGACAGGAAGACUAUGAGAGCACUGAUGAGACAGACUCAUGGGAAUUAUGAAGGCACUGAAUGAGGAGAAUGAAGGAUGGGAGAAAACCAGGGAUGGAAAAUCAGAAUCCAUGGAGGAAUAAACAGAAUUCAUAUCCAGACAUGCUGAAUUUGAGGUGCCUAUGAAGCACAGAAGGAGCUCUGUGAGGCAGUUGAACAUACAAGGCUUGGAGCCUCAGAGACAGUUGUUGGCAAGAGGUCCUUAACUGUGACCCACUAGUAGAUGAAUUCUUAGAAGCAAUGAGAUUGCCCAUUUAUUUGUCCAUUCACUCAAUGUUUAGUGAGCAUUUAGUGCCUGUCAAGAACAUUUGAGUAUGUUGGUUUGUAGGGUUAUUUUUCCUCUUUUUGGCCACACCCAUGACAUUUGAAAGUUCCCAGGCCAGGGAAAAAACCCACACCACAGCAAAGUCUGGGUUGGUUGGGCUGGUUUCUCUGCUCCAAAUUUCACAAGGCUGAAAUCAGGGUGUCAGCAGGGCUGGGUUCCCUUCUGGAGUCUCUGGGGUUGAAUCUGUUCCCAGGCUCAUUCAAGUUAUUGGCAGAAUCUCACUUCCUUGUGGUCAUAAGACUGAUGGCCCCAUGUCCUGUUGGCUGUCACAAAAGCUUGUCUCCACCCAGAGGCAGGCUGCAUUCUUUAUCAGGCUUUCAACAGGGCACCCAUCAGUGGAUGGAGGGUGCAUUCCUUCUUCUACUCCUGCUUCAGGUCUCAGACCUCCUUUCUGCUACACCUCUCUGCUGUCACCCUCUUCUAAGGAGUCUCUCAGAGAAAUGUUUCUGCCUUUUAGGAGUCAUGUGAGUAGAUUCAGCCAUAACUAUAAUUAAAUCUGCAAAGUUUCUUUUGCUAUGUAAGGUAACAUCUGCACAAGAUCCAGGGAUCAAGGGGCAGGCCUCUUUCUUUCUUUCUUUCUUUCUUUGUCUUUUGUCUUUUUAGGGCCUGUGGCACGUGGAGGUUCUCAAGCUAGGGGUCCAAUCGGACUGUAACUGCCACCUAAGCCACAGCCACAGCAACUCGGGAUCUGAGCCGCCUCUGACCUACACCACAGCUCACGGCAACGCUGGAUCCUUAACCCACUGAGCGAGGCCAGGGAUCAAAUCCACAACCUCAUGAUUCCUAGUUGGAUUCGUUUCUGCUGUGCCACGAUGGGAACUACAGGGCAGGCCUCUUUAAAAGCCAUUUUGGUAUUUAGCAAAAGAGAUAUAAUCCCUGCCUUCAUGGAGUUUACAGAGUAUGCAGAUGCUUAGACCCCAAAUCACAUGAUAAUCCAAAGAAUUAUAUAACUAUAAAAUAUGUUGAGGAGUUCCCACUGUGGUACAGUGGGUUAAGGAGCCGGUAUGGCUGCAGGUGUAGGUCAAAGCUGUGGCUCAGAUCUGAUACCUGGCCUGGGAACUUCCAAAUGCUGCAGCAAGAUAAAAAGAAAUCUCUGAAGAAACACUUGAGUGUAAAAAUAUGGUGAAGGAAAAUACAGGUUCAUCUGGUCUGUAGCAAGACAGAAUAUUUUGCCAAGGGCAUGAAAUUCAUUUAAGGGCUGAAAGAUGGAUGAGAGCUACAUACAUGAAGAGGGUAAAGGGAACAGCAUUUUAGAAGGAAGGAAUAGCAUAUACAAAUGCCUUGAAGGUGAAUGUGGUAUUAGGAACUGAAAGAAGGAAGGAGUGACUGGAGCAAAGCAGAUGAGGGACAUGGUGAGAGAGAGAAAAGCUGGACAUAGAGGAGGACACAGAAAAAGUUUGUUUUUAUCCUAAGGGCAAUAGAAAAGCAUUGAAAGUUUUCCCACAAGGAAAUGCCAUGUUCAGAUUUAAUUUUAAUUUUUUUUUAUUUUUUUCUUUUUUUUUUUUUUUCUUUUUAGGGCUGCACCUGCAACAUAUGGAAGUUCCCAGGCUCAGGGCUGAAUAGGAGCUACAGCUGCUAGCCUACACAACAGUUACAGUAACAUGGAAUCCAAGCCACAUCACAGCUCAUGCAAUCCCAGACCCUUAACCCAAUGAGAAAGGCCAGGGAUCAAACCCGCGUCCUCAUGGAUACUAGAAGGGUUCAUUACCACUAAGCCACAACAGGAACUCCUGAUUUUAUUUUUUAUGUGAUUAUUUUGACUGCAGUUUGAAGAAGUAUGGCACAUGCUAAGAGAGCUAGAGUAUUAGGGAUGCAGUUCUGUGGUCUCAUUAGACUAUGGCAAGAUAAUGAAAAGAGAAAAGGGAAUGGGUUUAAAAGGUGUUUAGGAAGUCUAUUAAUCACGAUUCUUUGGUUAUAUGUAACUUGAACUCUCAUAUGGGUUAAAAAAAAAUGAAAGGUGGGGAGAAUACUGUUAGCUUACAGUUUCCCUCAAAUUCAGGAAAACCAGGCAAGGCAUUAAUGGAAGCCAGGGACACAAGUUCCCAGGGCCUUCUUGCCAUCACUGAGUA
ensembl:lncRNA